GCUGAUAUGGCUCAGUUGGUAGAGCGCAUCCUUUACUAGGAUGAGUCGGCAGUGCGGAUCUGCCUAUCAACACCA
rnacentral:tRNA from 1 species